AUACGGAGGGUGCAAGCGUUGUUCGGAAUCACUGGGCGUAAAGGGCGCGCAGGCGGUUUGGUAAGUCAGAUGUGAAGGCCCAUGGCUCAACCAUGGAAGUGCAUUUGAAACUGUCAGACUUGAGUACUAGAGGGGAAAGUGGAAUUCCCGGUGUAGAGGUGAAAUUCGUAGAUAUCGGGAGGAAUACCGGUGGCGAAGGCGACUUUCUGGCUAGAUACUGACGCUGAGGCGCGAAAGCGUGGGGAGCAAACAGGAUUAGAAACCCUAGUAGUCC
rnacentral:rRNA from 1 species